rnacentral:rRNA from 1 species
AUUGAACGCUGGCGGCAGGCCUAACCCAUGCAAGUCGAACGAGUGGCGGACGGGUGAGUAAUGUCUGGGAAACUGCCUGAUGGAGGGGGAUAACUACUGGAAACGGUAGCUACUACCGCAUACCAUCGGAUGUGCCCAGAUGGGAUUAGCUAGUAGGUGGGGUAACGGCUCACCUUGGCGACGAUCCCUAGCUGGUCUGAGAGGAUUACCAGCCACACUGGAACUGAGACACGGUCCAGACUCCUACGGGAGGAAGCAGUGGGGAAUAUUGCACAAUGGGCGCAAGCCUGAUGCAGCCAUGCCGCGUGUAUGAAGAAGGCCUUCGGGUUGUAAAGUACUUUCAGCGAGGAGGCGUUACUCGCAGAAGAAGCACCGGCUAACUACGUGCCAGCAGCCGCGGUAAUAC